rnacentral:rRNA from 1 species
UCCGUAGGUGAACCUGCGGAAGGAUCAUUAAAGAUUCUGAGGCUUCGGUCUUAAUUUCGGCUGUGCGCUCAGGCUGCACGCCGAUAACCUCUCACACCUGUGCACCUUUUCGGUUGCGGUUUCGGCCGCUUCCGCUUUUACAUGCAACCACGAAAAGUCUAGAAUGUGACGAGAACUAUAAAGUAACAACUUUCAACAACGGAUCUCUUGGCUCUCGCAUCGAUGAAGAACGCAGCGAAAUGCGAUAAGUAAUGUGAAUUGCAGAAUUCAGUGAAUCAUCGAAUCUUUGAACGCACCUUGCGCUCCUUGGUAUUCCAUGGAGCAUGCCUGUUUGAGUGUCACGUAAACCCUCACCCCUGCGAUGUAACAGUCGCCUGCGGUGGACUUGGACCGUGCCGGUAAUCGGCUCGUCUUGAAAUGCAUUAGCUGGUGCUUUUAGAGUGCUGGGCGAACGGUGUGAUAAUUAUCUGCGCCGACUGCCCUGGGCCUCUUCAGCGGCGCUGCUUACAGCCGUCCCUUGUGGACAACUAUUUUAAAGCUUUGGCCUCAAAUCAGGUAGGACUACCCGCAGAACUUAAGCAUAUCAAUAAGCGGAGGA